GUGCUGUUGGUGGGAAUCGUGAUCGCCACCCUCGCUGGCGCCUUUGGUGGUGGGUCAGAGGUGAUCGUGGUUCCGACCACGAUGGCUCC
rnacentral:tRNA from 1 species